rnacentral:rRNA from 1 species
UACAGAGGCCCCAAGCGUUACCCGGAAUCACUGGGCGUAAAGGGUGUGUAGGCGGCUGUGUUAGUCUUCAGUGAAAUCCUCCGGCUUAACCGGGGGGAUGUCUGGGGAAACGGCACAGCUUUGAGAGUGUCAGAGGUAUGCGGAACUCACGGUGUAGGGGUAAAAUCCGUUGAUAUCGUGGGGAACACCAUAGGCGAAGGCGGCAUACUGGGACAUUUCUGACGCUGAGGCACGAAAGCGUGGGUAGCGAAUGGG